CAGUAGCCACGGUAAUACUGAGGGUGCGAGCGUUAAUCGGAUUUACUGGGCGUAAGCGUGCGUAGGCGGCUUCUUAAGUCGGAUGUGAAAUCCCUGAGCUUAACUUAGGAAUUGCAUUCGAUACUGGGAAGCUAGAGUAUGGGAGAGGAUGGUAGAAUUCCAGGUGUAGCGGUGAAAUGCGUAGAGAUCUGGAGGAAUACCGAUGGCGAAGGCAGCCAUCUGGCCUAAUACUGACGCUGAGGUACGAAAGCAUGGGGAGCAAACAGGAUUAGAUACCCGCGUAGUCCCUGUCUCUUAUACC
rnacentral:rRNA from 1 species